CAUUGGCUGUGGGUUUCUUGUGAUGUCACAAAAGCACUUGGCAACUGAGUGGAUAUAAAGGCAGGCCAAGGGGAAAGCCCUUUUCUAUUUCCAGCAGGAAACACCUGGCAAUGGAUGUGACAUUCAGCACUGCCCAGGUUUCUUUCACUUGGAGGAGGCAAACUGGUGAAUGGAAUGAGGCAAUCCUCUGGCAGUGGGAUGCUAUGGAGCAAUAAUAAGGCAAGUUUGCUUGCUUGAAGGCUGCUGGUAUCUGUGAUUAGAAGCUGGCGGACAUCUCAUGAUGGAACUAACAGUAGCUUCUGGCACAAUGGGACACCGUGAUGGAAACCAGAGCGCACGGAAACACCGUUUACCUUCCCGCUGCAGUGGUACCUAUUUAUCUAUUUGCACUGGUUUGCUUUCAAACAGCUAGGUUGGCAGGAGCUGGGACAGAGCAACGGGAGCUCACUCAGUCACACGGAUUCGAACCGCCGACCUUCCGAUGCAAGAUUUGUCUGCCCCUCCAGCUAACAUCAGCAACCUGAGGCUCCUGCCUCACUCUGCCUAACGGUAGGGCCAGCUGUGUCUAAGUACGGCCCUCUGAUUGAUGACUGUGUGAAACCUUUCCUCUCCCAAUUACGUAGGAGACAACUCCUAGAGGCCAAGGUCCUUUUGACCCACCCAAUAAAAUAUUUGAGGGGGCCAGCCCUCCCCCCAAAAAAGUUGCUGAGCAUUCAAAUGGUGUGUGUGUGCUAUGUUUUGUGAUUGGUUAUGCGACACGGGGCUUACCUGCUCCCCCAAUAUUUUAUUCAAGUUGGCAUCCCAGCUCCAUUACAGGGCCACCCUCUUAGUGCAGUUGGUUUCAAAGUGACCCAGUUGGCACAUGUGUAAUUGUGUCCAUUUAAAUGGCCUGUGGGUUCCUCCGUCCCACUCACAGUUCUGCAGCCACCUGCCUUCUUAGGGAUUUAUGAGCUGGCAAAUGUUCAAAGUUAGCUGAAGAUCAUGGGGAGGAACUGACAGGCGUCACCUUGAAUGUGGGCUUUCGUGAAAGGCAAGGAUCCCUUUGAUUAAGUUCCUAAUUAGAAAAGUGCUACUCAUUCCCAUAUGUUUGGAAAUGGGCAUUACAUAGGAUUUGUUGUUUAGUCGUUUAGUCGUGUCCGACUCUUCGUGACCCCCUGGACCAGAGCACGCCAGGCACUCCUGUCUUCCACUGCCUCCCGCAGUUUGGUCAAACUCAUGCUGGUAGCUUCUAGAACACUGUCCAACCAUCUUGUCCUCUGUCGUCCCCUUAUCCUUGUGCCCUCCAUCUUGCCCAACAUCAGGGUCUUUUCAGGAGUCUUCUCUUCUCCUGAGGUGGCCAAAGUAUUGGAGUCUCAGCUUCACGAUCUGUCCUUCCAGUGAGCACUCAGGGCUGAUUUCAUUCAGAAUGGAUAGGUUUGAUCUUCUUGCAGUCCAUGGGACUCUCAAGAGUCUCCUCCAGCACCAAUUACAUAGGAUACCAGGAUACAAUCACUUGCAAUAAUGUGAGGAAAAGAGUACGGCCAUUCUCACUGCUCCCCAUCACAGUAACACACCCUCUUAAGUUUGUUAGGAAGUGUAUAGUUUAUUAGUGUUUAUAUAUUACUGUUGUUGAUUUUUUUGAUUGGUCUAAACCACAGAGCCUAGGGCUUGCUGAUCAGAAGGUCGGCAGUUCGAAUCCCCGCGACGGGGUGAGCUCCCGAGCUCCUGCCAACCUAGCAGUUCGAAAGCAAGUCAAAGUGCAAGUAGAUAAAUAGAUACUUCUCUGGCGGGAAGGUAAACGGCAUUUCCGUGUGCUGCUCUGGUUUCGCCAGAAGCGGCUUAAUCAUGCUGGCCACAUGACCCAGAAGUGUAUGCCGGCUCCCUUGGCCAAUAAAGCGAGAUGAGCGCCGCAACCCCAGAGUCGUCAGUGACUGGACCUAAUGGUCAGGGGGUCCCUUUACCUUUACCUUUGAUUAUUUUUAUUAUGUAUUUUCUGCUUUGUAUAUUGCAGUUUUGAGUUGUGAACUACCCUGAGACCUUCAAGUAUAGGGCAGUACACAAAUAAUAAUAAUAAUAAUAAUAAUAAUAAUAAUAAUAAUAAUAUGGGAGCCUUUCUGUAUGUGCACAAGUUCUUUGCACAGUUUAGAACUUUGCAAGAUCAGGAUUCUCAGUUGCACCUGUGAGCUUUGAAUGCCUGAACAAGGCUCAUGAGCUCGCUAGAAGACAGCAAGGAAUGGUUAGAUGAAAAAUCAAAAGCACAAAUACAGUAACAUCUGGUGUGAUGGGGCAAAGCAACAGAGCCACACUUCCGACUGUGGCAUUGCAAGGUCAUGGCUUCCAUGGGGGAGAUGUUCAAACCAGUUCACAUGUCAAGGUGAACCUACCCAACCUGCACUUUGCCCAACAGCACGUGAAGUGAAAUUCGCACUUUCUGAAUCAAAAAACCCAACCAACCUUCAAAAUGUGGUAGGUCUACAAAUUUGGCAAUGCAGUUUUCCAUCCAAGGAAAGUCUCCAACGAUGGGGUAAAGUGAGCAUACAAAUGCUUAUAUUAGGAAAAAUAAUGCAUGCUAAUAGGCUUUGCAAAAGUUUGUCUAUUGGGAAGAUUUGCAGGUGGAAAUGUGCCUGCUGUGGGAAUUUCAACUAAAAUGCAGGUGAAUUUUCAUGAAGUUAAAAAAAUAAUAACGCAAAGGACGUGGAAAUGUGGAGGACCGCACUUAAGAUUGGAAACAUGAGAAACUGAGGGAAACCAAAAUGGCCACAUUCUCCCAUCCCUAAUUGGCAAGAGUGCUUGGCUGGCUACGCCAGUCUCAUUACCUCCCUGACCCAGUCUUCGCAGGUAAAGGUAAAAGAACCCUGGACGGUUAAGUCCAGUCGAAUUUGACUAUAGGUUGUGGCACUCAUCUCUGCUUUCAGGCCAAGAGAGCCGGUGUUUGUCCAUAGACAGCUUUCCAGGUCAUGUGGCCAGCACGACUAAACCACUUCUGGCACACGGAACACCAUGACAAGUGCCAGAGCGCACGGAAACGCUAUUUACCUUCCCGCCGCAGUGGUACCUAUUUGUCUACUCAUGCUGGUGUGCUUUUGAACUGCUAGGUUGGCAGGAGCUGGGACAGAGCAACAGCUCACCCCACUGUGCGGAUUCGAACUGUCGACCUUUCAGCAAGCGCAAGAGGCUCGUGGUUUGGACCACAGCGCCACCCGCAUCCAACUGCGCAGGUAAGCUGUAGUGAGGCUGGUGUCAGGAGGGUGACUCUGAUCCACUACACCAGCUGCUACGCAGCCCAGCAGUGCUCCUUUCCUCGAAUAACAAGUGCUGCGUGGCUCUCAAAUCUCUCAGUAAAACGUAGCCUUAGAAGUAGAACGGAAAUGAAUCGGUUGCUCCCUCCCACCGCAAUUCUCUUCAGAGGUCUCACUUUAUGGCUUUUGAUGGCAAAUAUAAUAUUCUCUAAAUAUUCUCCAGAUAUUAAUAUAUUCAACGACUGUUUGAAGUACAGAACAUCGGCAUCUGAUACUUUGCACUAGCGUACAGAGCCAGCUUUUCUCUGCUCAAAUUGAAACACUCUGAAAAGCAGU